rnacentral:lncRNA from 1 species
UUGUUCUAUUCAUCAUGACCUCAUAGAGCCUUUUCUUUUUCUCAGGUCUCAUUUACUUCCUCUUUUUUUUUUCCUUUUCCUUUUCCUAUACCUUCCUUUGGUCCUUAUAAGUAUCCAAAUUGCCCUAAAAUAACUUCUGCACAUGCAGCAUUAGGAAGCAGUGUUUCCCAACCACUACAUUUGAAUGAUUCAUUCCUCUGAGGACCCUCAAGUACUUCAGAAGAACUAAAAAAUGAAUAUCACGUUACACCAAAGAAGAAAUGAAAGCUGCCAGUGUCUUCUGAAGUUAAACAGGCUCCUGUUCUUUGACCCAGCAAUCCAAUCCUAGAGGCGGGAAGUCCAAGAUCAAUCAAAGUGUUGGCAUCGGUUUAUUGUGAGCUGUUCCUGCGAGGGAAGGAUCUGUUCCAGGUAUUUAAUUGUUCCCUGAGGUUUAAGGCAGUGGACUGAGGAUAAUACAGGCUCCAGCUUUCAUUAGUUCAAUGGAUGAUGCUGUUCAAUCCAUACUGUUUGGGGCAUUUGUUGAAAAUGUCAUUCAGAAGAUAUCAACACUUUCUGAGUCAUGGUUUGAUUGAAUUUAUAGAAUUAUGUGAUAGAAACCACAUUCUUCACAAAAGUCACAAGGCAAUAAUGACGACAAGGGUUGAAGAUGAAAGAUGCCAAAUAUUCUGAUCAAUUCAAUAAGGCAAAAAGACAAGUUAAUUCACUCAGUGCUCCAGGCAUCAACUUCAUAGAAGGAAUGGAAAUUCUACCUGUUUCCUAAAGAACUACAGAGGACUCCAACUAAGCCACUAUGCUGGGAGCAGAGAUGGGGAAGAAUUGCUGAGUCAUGAUAAGAGAAGGCACUAUAGGAAGAAACAGUGAACUCUUAACAGCUGGGCAAGCAAUGAGUCAGCCUGGGUGGUCACUCCAGAUGCUCCCGGACACAUCCCAAUUUCUAGGAUGCCUUGCUAAUCUGGGAGGGCUUUCCACACGCCCACCUGAAGACCAUGUGUGACCACGCCCCCAGAGGAGCAUGCCUUCUCCCACUCCCCAAUCCCAUUGCUUAUGACUUCAUUCACAUUUAGAGCGUGGACAGUGAAUCCCCAAUGUCAUUUACACAGUGUUGUUCUUGUCAUGGUCUAAACCAGCUUACCCCACUGCCACAUUUAUCCAUCAGCCUAUGGGAAAAGGGAAAAAGGAUGUGGAAGUGAAGUGAUCUUUAAAAGCCAAGGAAAGGAAGACAGGAAAAAUGAAGAUAAAUCCCAAAAGAUCAAUAUUUACUUUUAGUCUGCAUUUAAGUGUGCAUCGUUGAGAGAAUCCACGGCAACUUUUAUUAAAGAUAGAAGUUGUACUUGCCAACACAUCAACAAUUUAUGUUUAGAAACAAGAUACUCAAUCUCAAGUUAUCUUCCCUCUGAAAAUCAGAGAUCACUUCCAAUUCUCCUUAAGCUCUUAUGCAAGUUCUUCCAGCUGGAUCUAGAAACCAAAUUGACACCAGGCAGAUUAACAAGAGAAAACAUACAAAUCUUAUUCAUUUUACAUGUACGUGGGGAUCUUCACAAGAAAGAAAAUUAAAAAGUGGCCAAAGCAAGAUGCUUUUAUGCUUUUUAGACAAAGAAUGAUAAAUUUGAGAAGAAAUGUCAAGACAAAGAAAAUCUGGCUAGGAGUAGUACAUUUCUAGGGGAGUCAGUAGGAGAUAUAUUGGGGGACAUGUAAAACUAGUGAAAGAUAAGAGUUACUUCAUUAAGCAUAUUUAUCCAGAUCCAUUACAGUUCUCAAUUCCCAGUGUCUCAUGAUAAGGGCCAUCUUCUCACCCUGGUACAGAGAGAGUACCCCUCCCAGAGGAACGUUUAUGGCUUGCUGCAUGCAGGAAGAGACAGGUCAGCUAGCCUUUUCUAAACUACAAUUUCUCCAAUGUUUUCAACUCAAAAUAAUCAAUACACCAAUUCAGCAUGUUGUGGGAUGGCACAUCCUUCCCUCCUUUAAUAUCUAAGUUAAUAUUGAUGAUUUUGUAUAUUAAGAAGGUCCCAAAAUCGAAUGAGCUAUGGGCACCACAAAGCCAAGAUCUGCUCCUUAGGAGGGGUGUACUGGUACUGAAGAAGCAAGGAAACUCAAAAAUUGUGCUGCGAUCAAAACAUCAGAAGGAGAAUCUGAAGUGUCAGCCCACUGGAAGAAGCAAAAGCAUUUAGGGAAGUAGUUGCAUGG